CGGCGCAUGACGCGACUGGGACUAGGCCGGAGGCAGCGGGGGGCCGGCAGGGAUCACUGAGAUUCUGAUGAACAGACCUUCUGCCCGCAAUGCCUUGGGGAAUGUCUUCGUCAGUGAGGUAAGAAAGGGCGGGCGCCAGGGUGGGCUGGGGAUGGGCUGGCACUAUCUAACUGGGUGUCCUCUGUAGCUGCUGGAAACUCUGGCCCAGCUGCGGGAGGACCGGCAAGUGCGUGUCCUGCUCUUCAGAAGUGGAGUGAAGGGCGUGUUCUGUGCAGGUGCAGACCUGAAGGAGCGGGAACAGAUGAGUGAAGCAGAGGUGGGGGUGUUUGUCCAGCGACUCCGGGGCCUGAUGAAUGACAUCGGGUUCAAGCCUGGCCAUUCCAAAGCAGUUAAGUUUCCCCAAGCAUGCUUUCAAGUUUUGACAAUUGCUGUUACCUUUGCCUGAGAUACCCCUUCUUGGUUACUUGAACUUUUACUUGUCCUUCAAGCCCUCCAGUACCUCCUCCUCCAGGAAGCCUUCCCAACCCACCCUCUGAGCUUUUUAUUGGAGCACUGAUGAUCCUGGGUCAAUAAUGCCUGAUACACAUUUGUCUUCCCCAUGAGACUGAGCCCCAUGGGAACAAAGGCUAUGUCUGAUUCAUUCUGUGUUCCCAGUUCCCAGCACCCAGCACAGGGCUUGGCACACAGAAAGGGAGGCCCC
rnacentral:sRNA from 1 species